rnacentral:rRNA from 1 species
AACGAACGCUGGCGGCAGGCUUAACACAUGCAAGUCGAACGCCCCGCAAGGGGAGUGGCAGACGGGUGAGUAACGCGUGGGAAUCUACCCAUCUCUGCGGAAUAGCUCUGGGAAACUGGAAUUAAUACCGCAUACGCCCUACGGGGGAAAGAUUUAUCGGGGAUGGAUGAGCCCGCGUUGGAUUAGCUAGUUGGUGGGGUAAAGGCCUACCAAGGCGACGAUCCAUAGCUGGUCUGAGAGGAUGAUCAGCCACAUUGGGACUGAGACACGGCCCAAACUCGUGCGGGGGGCAGCGGUGGGGGGUCUGGGACAAUGGACGCAAGCCUGACCCAGCCAUGCCGCGUGAGUGAUGAAGGCCUUAGGGUUGUAAAGCUCUUUCGCCGAUGAAGAUAAUGACGGUAGUCGGAGAAGAAGCCCCGGCUAACUUCGUGCCAGCCGCCGCCGUAA